rnacentral:lncRNA from 1 species
AGAUUCCUAAUGCUAGAACUGGAACUGGUCUUCCAUCUCCAACGUUCAGGAACCUCUCACCUUGCUCGAAUCUCCUACUGACCUGCAACCCCUGCAACGAAUUGCAAAUAUGGUAAGGGCUACCGGUAUCCAAUACCCAGUCAGUUAUAUCACAAAUAGAGAUAUUGCAAGGAGUUAUCAUAUAAAUACCUUGCCCAGCAACAACUUGCUGCUUUCUCUGCCUGUUCGGGUCUAGGGAGGCAAUGUACUGGGGACAGUUCCUCUUUCAGUGCCUCCGCUUCUUGUAAAAGAAGCAUUCAGCUUGACUCUUAUCGGGUUUGAUCUUUUUGGUUUGACACUGCACAGAUGUCCCAGCCUGAACUUACACCUUCUUCACUUUCUUCUUCUUGUUCUUCUUCCCUUUCUUAAAGGGUCGAGAACCAGAAGACGAACCUCCCUCUAAGUUCACCGACUCCUUAUGGAGUUGGUGAUCUUUCUCAAAGUUCUGAAGUAACCCCAGUAAUCCGUGAUAGUUUACUUCAGGCUUUGUCAUUCUAUAAUGAGUGAGGAAUGGGAGAUAAGACUUGGGCAGCGAGUUCAGUAUUGCAUCUUUUCCAAGCUGCUCAUGCAAGGAAAAGNN